UAACACGUGGAUAACCUGCCCUUGGGACCGGCAUAACCCCGGGAAACUGGGGAUAAUUCCGGAUAACGCAUAUUUGCUGGAAUGCUUUAUGCGUCAAAAGGAUUCGUCUGCCCAAGGAUGGGUCUGCGGCCUAUCAGGUAGUAGUGGGUGUAAUGUACCUACUAGCCAGCGACGGGUACGGGUUGUGAGAGCAAGAGCCCGGAGAUGGAUUCUGAGACAUGAAUCCAGGCCCUACGGGGCGCAGCAGGCGCGAAAACUUUACAAUGCGGGAAACCGUGAUAAGGGGACACCGAGUGCCAGCAUCAUAUGCUGGCUGUCCGGAUGUGUAAAAUACAUCCGUUAGCAAGGGCCGGGCAAGACCGGUGCCAGCCGCCGCGGUAACACCGGCGGCCCGAGUGGUGAUCGUGAUUAUUGGGUCUAAAGGGUCCGUAGCCGGUUUGGUCAGUCCUCCGGGAAAUCUGAUAGCUCAACUAUUAGGCUUUCGGGGGAUACUGCCAGACUUGGAACCGGGAGAGGUAAGAGGUACUACAGGGGUAGGAGUGAAAUCUUGUAAUCCCUGUGGGACCACCUGUGGCGAAGGCGUCUUACCAGAACGGGUUCGACGGUGAGGGACGAAAGCUGGGGGCACGAACCGGAUUAGAUACCCGGGUAGUCCCAGCCGUAAACGAUGCUCGCUAGGUGUCAGGCAUGGCGCGACCGUGUCUGGUGCCGCAGGGAAGCCGUGAAGCGAGCCACCUGGAAGUACGCCC
rnacentral:rRNA from 1 species